rnacentral:lncRNA from 1 species
GGUCAUAUAAAUGAGUCAAAAAAUAACAAGUUAUAUAAAGAUAAAUUCUUUGAUCCUUAUGAUUAUAAAUCAUAUGGAACUUGUAAAUUUUAUCUCAUGAAAAAAAUAACCAAGUCUCUAUUUAUUAGACGUGGAGAAGGGACGUGUGACAUAUUAGACCUUAUACAUACUAAUAUUUAUGGUCUAAUGUCAACUCAAGCCAGACC